UACUGAGUUUACGCUCUACAACCCUUUGUGAACAUACCUAUAACUGUUGCUUCGGCGGGUAGGGUCUCCGCGACCCUCCCGGCCUCCCGCCUCCGGGCGGGUCGGCGCCCGCCGGAGGAUAACCAAACUCUGAUUUAACGACGUUUCUUCUGAGUGGUACAAGCAAAUAAUCAAAACUUUUAACAACGGAUCUCUUGGUUCUGGCAUCGAUGAAGAACGCAGCGAAAUGCGAUAAGUAAUGUGAAUUGCAGAAUUCAGUGAAUCAUCGAAUCUUUGAACGCACAUUGCGCCCGCCAGCAUUCUGGCGGGCAUGCCUGUUCGAGCGUCAUUUCAACCCUCAAGCUCUGCUUGGUGUUGGGGCCCUACAGCUGAUGUAGGCCCUCAAAGGUAGUGGCGGACCCUCCCGGAGCCUCCUUUGCGUAGUAACUUUACGUCUCGCACUGGGAUCCGGAGGGACUCUUGCCGUAAAACCCCCAAUUUUCCAAAGGUUGACCUCGGAUCAGGUAGGAAUACCCGCUGAACUUAAGCAUAUCAAUAAGCGGAGGAAAAGAAACCAACAGGGAUUGCCUCAGUAACGGCGAGUGAAGCGGCAACAGCUCAAAUUUGAAAUCUGGCCCUAGGCCCGAG
rnacentral:rRNA from 1 species